UUAAAAUUUUAAAUCUCUAAACUCUAUGAAAUUAAUUAAUUAAUUAAUUUUAUUAAUAAAUUCAUUGUAUAUAAUAUAAUUAAUUAAUAUUAUUAAUAAUACACGUAAUAAAUCGCAUAAUAAAAUCUAAUUUGAUCGAUGUAUAAAAAAAUACAUAAUUUAAAUUUGAGUAAUAUUUUAGAAAUAUAGUGCGUGUGUGUAUAAAUAUAAUUAAUUUUAUUAAACAAAUUCUUCCAUUAUUUUAUUUCCCUUCUAUUUAUUUUUUUUAAAUUAUUUUGAUAUAUUUAUCACAAAUCUUUUUUCGCAUAAAUCUUUAUAAAAUAAGUUGUCGUUUUAAUAAAUUUUAUUUAAAUAAAAUUAACUAUUAAAUUAUUUUUAUAUAACUUUUAUUGAAUUAAUAGUUAGACUUAUAAAAUUAUUUAAAAAUAUAAAAAACUAAAAUUUAUUAAAAAAAAUUUUAAAUCCGCAGCAUCGCGCGGGUAUUUCACUAGUUAAGCAUUGGAAAAGCACUAUUCCACCAAAAUGGUGGAAUAGCAAAUCUUUGCUAUUCCGGGAUAAUUGGGAAUAGCAAGUUAAAAUUACAAAUUAUAAAUUUUAAAAAUUUUGAAUUUAAAAUUUUAAAAUUUUAAAAUAAGAAUAGGGAUAGGAACAAUUAAUAAAAAUAAUUUAUUAUAAUAAAUUUAUAAUUUUUUAAAAAAUUCUAAUUAAACUUAAAUUUUUAAAAAAUAAUUUAUUAUAAUAUUUAAAUAUAAAUAAUAUGUAUUAAUAUAGUACAAUUAAUAAUUUUAUAAUAAAAAUAAUGUAUUAUAAUAUAUAACAUAUUAUAUUUAUAUAAUUUAGUUUUAAUUAAAUUUAUAAUUUUCAUGAAGUUUGAAAUUAAGAAUUAGAAUACCACUAUUUCACCAAAAUAGUGGAAUAGCAAAUCUUUACUAUUCCGAGAUAAUCGGGAAUAAAAUAUUUCGGUAAAAAAUUGCCCCGUUUGGUGGAAUAGCCGAUAGCGGGGAUAAUUUUCUUUAUCCCCGCUUAUCCUCUGAACAAAACGGGGCCUUA
rnacentral:lncRNA from 1 species